GUUGGUUUAUAAUGUAAUCUUAGUGGAUUUAUGUAAUCUUUCUGUUUUUUCGCUGUAAACAUUAGUGGAUUUACACUGUAUUCUUGUGUAUGGCUUUGCAAAUCAAACCCAAGAGGCUUUCUUUUAGUGAAUUACUUGAAAUAAUUCUGUAUUUCGUAGUGGUUUGUCACUGUAAUUUGUAUCUCUUAUCAGUGUAAUUAUAUCGGCAUUCGUAGUGGUUUUCUGUCUGGCUCGAAGAAAUUUGAGUGCAGGUGCAUACAUACGAACCAAAUGCUAAAGAAGGGAGCAUCAAGGGGCAUGCAUUGUACCUGAAUGACGAUGAAGCAGAUUUUGUUAACGUAUGGCUUUUUAAUAGCAGAAAACAUUCCUGAAAAUAAAUAACAUUAUCAAAUAUGCUUUCUCUAACUAGUUUCUUGACAAAUUACAGAGCAGCGCAUACUCUUUUACCAAGCUACUACAUGCGCAAAUGAUGUAGAAGAUAUAAAUGCAUUGCAUAAAUCUCAUAUGCAUCAGCUAAUGAAGAAAGCAUGUUCUAUUAUGCAUUAGCUCAUGAACUAGCAUUGUUCUAUUAUGUGCAGCAACAGCAUGUGGAGCCUACGCCUGAUAUGCCAAACUACAUGGAAUGGCAGAGCACUGUUCAGGUCAUGUCUGGUGUGUUAGGAAGUAGUUUCAGUGCAAUUAUUUUUUAGUGCAGUGAAUUUUAUGGAUUACAGUGGAAUUAAUAGCUAAUGGAAUUUCGAAGUUUGAUUUAAACUGUAAUUCCUACUAAUUUUGAGUGUAAUUAUCAGUUGAUUUUCCUCUGUAAUGCUUAUUUUUGGAAUUUGAGUUUUCUUUUAGUGGAAUUACAGUGUAAUUGUUAGUGGAAUUGAAGGUGCAUAAGUUACACUGUAAUUCUGAAUUUUUUUCACUGUAAUCCGUGAUGAUUUACAGUGUAAUUAUUGAUUUUGCUCUGUAUUACCCAGUGGAAUUACACUGUACUUUAAUUGGUUUUACACAGUAAAUCUUAGUGGAUCUACACAGUAAAUCUUUGGAUUUUUACUGUACUUAUAGUUUAGUUUUACACAGUAAAUCUUAGUGGAUUUUGACUGUACUUUUAGUUUCUUUUUACAUAGUAAAUCUUAGUGGAUUUUGACUGUACUUUUAGUUUCUUUUUACAUAGUAAAUCUUAGUGGAUUACACAGUAAAUCUAAGUGGAUUUACACUGUAUUUUCUUAGUGAAAUUGAAGUCCUUUAUUUAGUGGAUUUUUUAC
rnacentral:lncRNA from 1 species